rnacentral:tRNA from 1 species
GAGGGUCUGGCCGAAUGGUUAGGCAGCUGGCUUCCACCCAGCCCACACGGGUUCGAUUCCCCUGGCCCUCU